rnacentral:rRNA from 1 species
UGGGGAAUAUUGGGCAAUGGGCGAAAGCCUUACCCAGCAACGCCGCGUGAGGGAAGAAGGUUUUCGGAUUGUAAGCCUCUGUCCUGGGGGACGAAGGAAGUGACGGUACCCCGGGAGGAAGCCCCGGCUAACUACGUGCCAGCAGCCGCGGUAAUACGUAGGGGGCGAGCGUUGUCCGGAAUUAUUGGGCGUAAAGGGCGCGUAGACGGCCGAGUAAGUUAUAGGUGAAAGCCCAUCUUUCAAGGAUGGAAUUGCCUGUAAUACUGCCUGGCUUGAGUGCAGGAGAGGGAAGCGGAAUUCCUAGUGUAGCGGUGAAAUGCGUAGAUAUUAGGAGGAACACCAGUGGCGAAGGCGGCCUUCUGGACUGUAACUGACGUUGAGGCGCGAAAGCGUGGGGAGCAAACAGGAUUAGAUACC